UAGGGCCAUAUCUCGCUGAAACACCGGUUCCCGUACGAUCACGAAAGUUAACCAACGUCGAGUUUGGUCAGUACUUAAAUGGGUGACAGCUUGGGAUUGAAUGU